rfam:Fusobacterium nucleatum subsp. nucleatum ATCC 25586, complete genome.
AGAUAUGCUCAUAGUGUAGUGAGCAGUAUAAUCAAAAGAAAUACACAAAAAGA